rnacentral:rRNA from 1 species
UGAGGAAUAUUGGUCAAUGGACGGAAGUCUGAACCAGCCAAGUAGCGUGCAGGAUGACGGCCCUAUGGGUUGUAAACUGCUUUUGUAUGGGGAUAAAGUUAGGGACGUGUCCCUAUUUGCAGGUACCAUACGAAUAAGGACCGGCUAAUUCCGUGCCAGCAGCCGCGGUAAUACGGAGGAUGCGAGCGUUAUCCGGAUUUAUUGGGUUUAAAGGGUGCGUAGGCGGCCUGUUAAGUCAGCGGUGAAAUCUAGGAGCUUAACUCCUAAAUUGCCAUUGAUACUGGCGGGCUUGAGUGUAGAUGAGGUAGGCGGAAUGCGUGGUGUAGCGGUGGAAUGCAUAGAUAUCACGCAGAACUCCGAUUGCGAAGGCAGCUUACUAAGGUACAACUGACGCUGAAGCACGAAAGCGUGGGUAUCAAACAGGAUUAGAUACCCUGGUAGUCCACGCAGUAAACGAUGAUAACUGGGCGUAUGCGAUAUACAGUAUGCUCCUAAGCGAAAGCGUUAAGUUAUCCACCUGGGGAGUACGCCGGCAACGGUG